UACAUUUGAAAUUCUUACACCACGUGGUUUUUCUCUUGUUAGAUUUUCAGCUCCUCCUUUUUUCUUCCGAUUUCAAACUUUCUGUAAGGAUGUGCUUUCGCCAAAUAAUAAUUUGUUCAAUAUUUUAUCGUAACAAAACACUGAAUGGUCAAGGCUAAGAUACGAAAGAAGUUCCAUACCAAAUUUCAGCUAGAUUGAAGGUAACAGCUAUGCGAAAGUACAGCCUUUCGAAUUGAAACUGUUUUGGUUAAAAAUUAUUGAGAAAAGGAAAAUGAAAAUCAAGUUCCGACGCGCAUCAAUACGCGUUUGCUUAUUCCGGAUUAGAUUCGUAUUUGUAAAUGUGCGCCUGAAAUUUUUAUCGCGAACUAAAACUCUUGGAUGAAAACUACAUUUUGCGUCCUGCUCGCACACAGUGCCAAAACUUGACCUACCUCCCUCCAAUCGGCUCCGAAAAGUUCGUUUCGCGGAAAGUUUUUGCUUUUUUUUUGUUUUCAAAAUAUUUCUUUUAAUCUUAUUUUUUUCCAAAUAUCUAGAGCCCUCGAUUCCGUCAUUGAACUUAAAUUUAAAGUAAUAUUAACAUGAAGUGGAUGCAUACCUUCGGGUUUCAUUGUGUGCCAUUCUUCGCUGGUUAAUGAUACGGUAAAAACUUGUCCAUUUUCGCGUUCACUUUCAGAAGUUUCAGAAUCUACUUCAGACUCGUAGGAUUCUUCUAAAGUAGAACCAUUAUCGGAUUCUUCAGUCGUGCAAUUGUUGUACGACGGAAUCGAAAUGCCCAUUUCACUUCGUGCAAUUAUUCAAUUCAUCCGGAUCCACGAAACCAUCGGAUUUUCAUCUGAAUCAAACUCACCGCCGUUACUACCAGUUUAUUUCUGUAAGAAAAAUCGUAUGACUGGAUUUGAAUAAUUACGGCUCACGUUGGCACUACAGAGGGUCAAAUAAAUUAUAAAAGAAAUUAA